rnacentral:rRNA from 1 species
GAUGAACGCUGGCGGCGUGCCUAAUACAUGCAAGUCGAGCGAACGGACGAGAAGCUUGCUUCUCUGAUGUUAGCGGCGGACGGGUGAGUAACACGUGGAUAACCUACCUAUAAGACUGGGAUAACUUCGGGAAACCGGAGCUAAUACCGGAUAAUAUUUUGAACCGCAUGGUUCAAAAGUGAAAGACGGUCUUGCUGUCACUUAUAGAUGGAUCCGCGCUGCAUUAGCUAGUUGGUAAGGUAACGGCUUACCAAGGCAACGAUGCAUAGCCGACCUGAGAGGUGGACCGGCCACACUGGAACUAGGACACGGUCAAGACUCCUACGGGAGGCAGCAGUAGGGAAUUUUCCGCAAUGGCCGAAAGCCUGACGGAGCAACGCCGCGUGAGUGAUGAUGUUCUUCGGAUCGUAAAACUCUUUUAUUAGGGAAGAACAUAUGUGUAAGUAACUGUGCACAUCUUGACGGUACCUAAUCAGAAAGCCACGGCUAACUACGUG